rnacentral:rRNA from 1 species
UGGGGAAUAUUGGACAAUGGGCGAAAGCCUGAUCCAGCCAUGCCGCGUGUGUGAAGAAGGUCUUCGGAUUGUAAAGCACUUUACGUUGGGAGGAAGGGCAGUUACCUAAUACGUAAUUGUUUUGACGUUACCGACAGAAUAAGCACCGGCUAACUCUGUGCCAGCAGCCGCGGUAAUACAGUGGGUGCAAGCGUUAAUCGGAAUUACUUGGCGUAAAGCGCGCGUAGGUGGUUAGUUAAGUUGGAUGUGAAAUCCCCGGGCUCAACCUGGGAACUGCAUUCAAAACUGACCGUCUAGAGUAUGGUAGAAGGUGGUGGAAUUUCUGGUGUAGCGAUGAAAUGCGUAGAUAUAGGAAGGAAUACAAGUGGCGAAGGCGACCACCUGGACUGAUGCUGACACUGAGGUGCGAAAGCGUGGGGAGCAAGCA